UACGGAGGGUGCAAGCGUUAUCCGGAAUGAUUGGGCGUAAAGCGUCCGCAGGUGGCUGUGUAAGUCUGCUGUCAAAGAGCAAAGCUCAACUUUGUAAAGGCAGUGGAAACUACACGGCUAGAGUGCGUUCGGGGCAGAGGGAAUUCCUGGUGUAGCGGUGAAAUGCGUAGAGAUCAGGAAGAACACCGGUGGCGAAGGCGCUCUGCUAGGCCGCAACUGACACUGAGGGACGAAAGCUAGGGGAGCGAAUGGG
rnacentral:rRNA from 1 species